rnacentral:rRNA from 1 species
UACGUAGGGAGCAAGCGUUGUCCGGAAUCAUUGGGCGUAAAGCGCGCGUAGGUGGCCUCAUAAGUCCGCUGUGAAAGUCAAAGGCUCAACCUUUGAAAGCCGGUGGAUACUGUGAGGCUAGAGUACGGAAGAGGCGAGUGGAAUUCCUGGUGUAGCGGUGGAAUGCGCAGAUAUCAGGAGGAACACCAAUAGCGAAGGCAGCUCGCUGGGACGUUACUGACACUGAGGCGCAAAAGCGUGGGGAGCGAACAGG